rnacentral:rRNA from 1 species
UACGGGGGGGGCAAGCGUUGUUCGGAAUUACUGGGCGUAAAGGGCUCGUAGGCGGCCAACUAAGUCAGACGUGAAAUCCCUCAGCUUAACUGGGGAACUGCGUCUGAUACUGGAUGGCUUGGAUUCGGGAGAGGGAUGCGGAAUUCCAGGUGUAGCGGUGAAAUGCGUAGAUAUCAGGAGGAACACCGGUGGCGAAGGCGGGUCUCUGGGCCGAUACUGGCGCUGAGGAGCGAAAGCGUGGGGAGCGAACAGG